CAUUUGCUUCUUCCCGGAUAGGAUCACGAAGUGUUGAUGUGAGAUACGACGAGUUCUCCGACAAGUUCUUAUGCAGCUUUCCACAGGCGAGCCCACCUCCUUCACCUAUUUUAUAUUUUGCUCCCCCUCGCACUGCUAUCCUUAUGUUGCGAUUCUUUAUCGAGUCACGUGUCCUAUUCCACUUGUUUACCAUAAUAAUCCUAUAUGUAUCAUUCCUUAACCAUAGCCGUUGCUUGAUGUUUGAGCCUUGCGAGUCGUAGGCGUGUUUAGGCUAUAUUGUUUAUCUCGAUCUGUUAUCGGGAUAUGUUGGGUUGUUGGGAGGUUAUCACAUGCUAUAUCAGUUGUUGGAGAUACUCAUGCUUUACUUUAUUGUUAACAAAUAAAAUUGUAAGCAGAGGCAUCUGUGAGCCCCUUUGCGAAAGCAUCGGAACUUUGACUUGCUAAUGUCCCAUAGGACCCGAGUUCUUGUUAUCUGUUCCGAGAUUGAGCGCUCUACCCGUACGUGGGGGAGUGGGACCCCCAUCACCCACUACCUUUCCUCGAGUCUGUUCAUUGGGAGCCAUAACCUUGGUUUUAUUUGCCCAUAUGCACGAUGCACGAUUUACUUCAUGUUGCCUUCGGGUGUUUUAUUCUGUACUGUACUCAUAACGCGGGACUCCUUAUCCUUGGCCGGUCGUUAGUGCCCGCCUUGGAAGCCGUCGCAAACCUCUGGGUCCGUAUCGGAGUACGGCCGAACUUCGUCACGGGUAGCUUAGUUGGGUGGCUCCCAUUAAACUUUCUCUUGCAUUGGGAACGGUCUUGAUGUGAGACUCCACCUGUAGUAAGUGGGUUCGAGCAUGCGUAUGGUUACAUUUGGGCAACCCCUGCAGGGUGUACAUCUUAUCGAUAAGCCGUGUCCGCGGUUAAGGACGACUUGGAAUUGUAUGGCUUGAUCAUAGAACAACUUACACCUUAUACUUGUUGUUAAUAAUCUGAUAAUAACUUGCGUAGUAAUAUAGCAUUACUACAACCGAUACCUAAUAAAAACUUGUCCACCGUUGAGUGCCUUUUACAUUGCCUCUUCGCUUUGUUGAAGGGGAUAUGUGUAAUCGGCUGGGUUAUGUUUGUGUAGUAUUUUAUCUGUUACCUUGUGCGCUCUCUUAUCUUCUCUGAGUAGACGGAUGUUGUAGCGCGUCUCUAUUGGUUAUAGUUUUGCUGCCGCUAAACCUACCAUAUAGCCCCAGGCGAUAUAUAUUUAUAGUCGCCCGGCGAGCAUAGCCAUUUCUAGUCUCGCUAAGUACGUGCCGGAGUUCGUUCCUUGGUACUUACUCUCGCCUUUUCCCUUUCUCUUUUGCUUCCUUCCUUUUGUCGGCAACCGAUGGCCCGACUUCGACAGGUACAAGAUGACGACGUUAGCAAGAUUACCCUUCCGGCUUGGCCUGGGCAGGGUUAUGGACGCCACUGGUUAUCUUCAGGACUCUUAGUCCAAUUUGUAUCUUGUCCGUACUCGGACGUAUUUGAUCUUUUGUAUGAUUUGGAUCUUUGUAUUGUAUAUUUGUAUCUUGACUCGUUGGAGUCGUUGUUGUAAUAUAUGUAUCUUGUGGGCUCUA